rnacentral:tRNA from 1 species
GGACUCGUAGCUCAGCUGGGACAGCCUACGCUGUAAAAAAGCGAGGACAACGUAUACAUAUGUGUGGGUUCGAAUCCCACUGAGACUA